CUGCGCAUGCGCAAAUAGCACACUUAAACAUUCACCCACUAAAUCAUAAUAAGCACAAUUCAUUUCAACGCAAAGGAGUAGGCCUCUAUUCUACACGUAUGAAGGCAACAGCAGUGAGUUUCCUGUUGUGUACCCCUUUCACCACCUGGGGGCAUCAUCACUCACCAUCACUACCAUCACGCAUCAGCGGCAGCACUUACCCACAGAGCUGCUGAAAAUCUUCUCUGUUCAGAGAAGACGUGGGGCAAGAAACGGCCACCAGAGGGAGCACACAUGCUAUGAAAAAUCAUGUAUAUCCAAUCUAGCAGUGCUCCUGAUGCGGUUAGAGGCUGUGACAAGUCUCUGGGCGGGGGAACCGAGCAGAGCGAGCAAACGGGGUGACGAAGAGGACACGACAUCUGGAGAACACGCAGAAGAAGAAUGCAGCAGUGAGAGUUGAAGAUGCCUGCUUUUGUUUGAGGAUUUACACCAUCCUGUUGCCAUGAAGGUAAGAAAACUAACAGUUGUGGGAUUUGGAUUUGUGCC
rnacentral:lncRNA from 1 species